UCCCCCUCAGCCUUCCCCCUUCCUUUUCCUUCUCCUCUUUCCUUGCAGAGGCUCCAGGGACCAUAGAGUUUGUGGCUGACCCUGCAGCCCUGGCCACCAUCCUGUCAGGUGAGGGUGUGAAGAGCUGUCACCUGGGGCGCCAGCCUAGUCUGGCUAAAAGAGUACUGGUUCGAGGAAGUCAGGGAGGCACCACCCAGAGGGUCCAGGGUGUUCGGGCCUCUGCAUAUUUGGCCCCCAGAACCCCCACCCACCGACUGGACCCUGCCAGGGCUUCCUGCUUCUCUAGGCUGGAGGGACCAGGACCUCGAGGCCGGACAUUGUGCCCCCAGAGGCUACAGGCUCUGAUUUCACCUUCAGGACCUUCCUUUCACCCUUCCACUCGCCCCAGUUUCCAGGAGCUAAGAAGGGAGACAGCUGGCAGCAGCCGGACUUCAGUGAGCCAGGCCUCAGGAUUGCUCCUGGAGACCCCAGUCCAGCCUG
rnacentral:lncRNA from 1 species